UUAUUGCAUGUACCGUAUGAAUAAGGACCGGCUAAUUACGUGCCAGCAGCCGCGGUAAUACGGAAGGUCCAGGCGUUAUCCGGAUUUAUUGGGUUUAAAGGGAGUGUAGGCGGUUUGUUAAGCGUGUUGUGAAAUUUAGGUGCUCAACAUUUAACUUGCAGCGCGAACUGUCAGACUUGAGUACACGCAACGUAUGCGGAAUUCAUGGUGUAGCGGUGAAAUGCUUAGAUAUCAUGAAGAACUCCGAUUGCGAAGGCAGCAUACGGGAGUGUAACUGACGCUUAAGCUCGAAGGUGCGGGUAUCGAACAGGAUUAGAUACCCUGGUAGUCCGCACAGUAAACGAUGGAUGCCCGCUGUUAGCGCCUGGCGUUAGCGGCUAAGCGAAAGCAUUAAGCAUCCCACCUGGGGAGUACGCCGGCAACGGUGAAACUCAAAGGAAUUGACGGGGGCCCGCACAAGCGGUGGAGUAUGUGGUUUAAUUCGACGCAACGCGAAGAACCUUACCAGGUCUUGACAUCCUCUUGACAGAUCCUUAAUCGGAUCCUUCUUCGGACAAGAGAGACAGGUGGUGCAUGGUUGUCGUCAGCUCGUGU
rnacentral:rRNA from 1 species